rnacentral:rRNA from 59 species
AGAGUUUGAUCAUGGCUCAGAUUGAACGCUGGCGGCAGGCCUAACACAUGCAAGUCGAGCGGUAGCACAGAGAGCUUGCUCUCGGGUGACGAGCGGCGGACGGGUGAGUAAUGUCUGGGAAACUGCCUGAUGGAGGGGGAUAACUACUGGAAACGGUAGCUAAUACCGCAUAAUGUCGCAAGACCAAAGUGGGGGACCUUCGGGCCUCAUGCCAUCAGAUGUGCCCAGAUGGGAUUAGCUUGUAGGUGGGGUAACGGCUCACCUAGGCGACGAUCCCUAGCUGGUCUGAGAGGAUGACCAGCCACACUGGAACUGAGACACGGUCCAGACUCCUACGGGAGGCAGCAGUGGGGAAUAUUGCACAAUGGGCGCAAGCCUGAUGCAGCCAUGCCGCGUGUGUGAAGAAGGCCUUCGGGUUGUAAAGCACUUUCAGCGGGGAGGAAGGCGGUGAGGUUAAUAACCUCAUCGAUUGACGUUACCCGCAGAAGAAGCACCGGCUAACUCCGUGCCAGCAGCCGCGGUAAUACGGAGGGUGCAAGCGUUAAUCGGAAUUACUGGGCGUAAAGCGCACGCAGGCGGUCUGUCAAGUCGGAUGUGAAAUCCCCGGGCUCAACCUGGGAACUGCAUUCGAAACUGGCAGGCUAGAGUCUUGUAGAGGGGGGUAGAAUUCCAGGUGUAGCGGUGAAAUGCGUAGAGAUCUGGAGGAAUACCGGUGGCGAAGGCGGCCCCCUGGACAAAGACUGACGCUCAGGUGCGAAAGCGUGGGGAGCAAACAGGAUUAGAUACCCUGGUAGUCCACGCCGUAAACGAUGUCGAUUUGGAGGUUGUGCCCUUGAGGCGUGGCUUCCGGAGCUAACGCGUUAAAUCGACCGCCUGGGGAGUACGGCCGCAAGGUUAAAACUCAAAUGAAUUGACGGGGGCCCGCACAAGCGGUGGAGCAUGUGGUUUAAUUCGAUGCAACGCGAAGAACCUUACCUGGUCUUGACAUCCACAGAACUUAGCAGAGAUGCUUUGGUGCCUUCGGGAACUGUGAGACAGGUGCUGCAUGGCUGUCGUCAGCUCGUGUUGUGAAAUGUUGGGUUAAGUCCCGCAACGAGCGCAACCCUUAUCCUUUGUUGCCAGCGGUCCGGCCGGGAACUCAAAGGAGACUGCCAGUGAUAAACUGGAGGAAGGUGGGGAUGACGUCAAGUCAUCAUGGCCCUUACGACCAGGGCUACACACGUGCUACAAUGGCAUAUACAAAGAGAAGCGACCUCGCGAGAGCAAGCGGACCUCAUAAAGUAUGUCGUAGUCCGGAUUGGAGUCUGCAACUCGACUCCAUGAAGUCGGAAUCGCUAGUAAUCGUAGAUCAGAAUGCUACGGUGAAUACGUUCCCGGGCCUUGUACACACCGCCCGUCACACCAUGGGAGUGGGUUGCAAAAGAAGUAGGUAGCUUAACCUUCGGGAGGGCGCUUACCACUUUGUGAUUCAUGACUGGGGUGAAGUCGUAACAAGGUAACCGUAGGGGAACCUGCGGUUGGAUCACCU